rnacentral:lncRNA from 1 species
GGCAGGAGUAUAAUUCUUUCAUUCAUUUACCUAUCAUUUGCUGAGUGUAUAUAGUGCAUGACAGGCCACAGGCCAGCCAGACGAGGUGGCCAAACAAAGAAAUAAUAAGACAUCGUCCGAGCCUCAAGGAUGUCACACCUAGCAGAAAUGUCCAUGUAUAAAAAUAAUCCUGGUACACUGUAACAGUGCGAGAGAACCUAGUAAUAUGAGAGCAUAGAGGGUAGUCAGAGAAAGCUUCACAGAAGACAAAACAUUUGGAGUGGGUCUGGAAGGAUGAGUAAGAGUUUACUAUUUGGGGUUAACUCCCGAAGUGGAAAACACCACCAUAUUGGAAGCCUUGGGGUACUCUCAAAGUCAGCAAAUUUAUAGCCUCAUGCAAGAUCUGAGUAGUAACAGCCAUUUUGCAUCUUGUUUUUUAUGGCUAAUAAGAGAAAAAGCAAAAACAGGGACCUAUAGGAGAUGGGAGAUGUGCCCUGGUGAUGCGGACAGGCCUGUCCCUUCCAUGGGAGGUAUCUUUGGAAAUCCCCCAUCUCCACGGUAAUACGAGCUGCCAGCCGGCAGAGGGUGAAUUAGCACUGGCACCAUCAGAUACAAGCUGGACACAGCUGAGUGCAGACAGGACACCACAUCAUCUGGGACAAGAGAGCAGACUGCUAUGACAGGUUGGUCUCAGGCCGACAGGACCCAGCCUGGGCCUGACCCACUGGUGAGUCACCCAGGACAGCCCCAGUUGACUCCUUGGACCCAACAGCAAAGGCAAAACAACCAGAGAGAGGAAGCCUGGAUGACUUGGUUACUGCCACCUGAUGCUCUUGCGUCUGUGCCACAGGUUAAGCACUGGGAGGCACAGAUGUAUGAGGACUUGCCAUCUAGGAGUCAGAGAAUCAGCACAUAUCUUGUCAUGUCAUAGCUGAAGAGCUGCCACCUAGACCUGUUCCUGCUGCUUCACUCUGGUUUUCCCAUGGCCCAUAUGGAAGGGAACCAGGGUUGGGCUACCACCAUUUUGUGCUCCCAGAUUGGAGGAUGGGUGAGGCCUCUCCAUCCCAGCUUCCCUGGAUAACUUAAUUUAAGCUUAUGACACAUAUUCUCUGAAAGGCAAACCCAUGAGGUGUAUUCACAAAGAGGACAUCAAAUCCCACUUGGAGUCUUGUGUCAUUAAACCAUUACAGUCAGCCCUCCAUAUCCCUAGGUUCUGCAUCCAUGGAUUCAACCACCCAUGAAUAAAAAAUAUCCAGAAAAAAAAAGUUGAUGGUAGUGUCUGUGCUGAACAUGUUCAGACCUUUUUUGGUCAUUUUUCCCUAAACAAUACAGUAUAACAACUAUUUACAUAGCAUGUAGAUUGUAUUAGGUAUAUAUAAGUAAUCUAGAGGUGAUUUAAAGUAUAAAGGAGGAUGUGCAUAGGUUAUAUGCAAAUAGUAUGCCAUUUUAUAUAAGUUAUUUGAGCAUUUCCUCUAUGGGUUUUGGUAUCCAUGGAGGUCCUGGAACCAAUCCCCCACAGAUACCAAGGGACAAGUGUAUUUAGCAUUUUCAUACACCCUGUUUCAUCUGCAUAAGACCCUGACGAUUUCAAGAUACGCUAUCUUUUUACAUACCACUAAGAAAAACCAGCCAACUAGACUAUGGCAUGCCAUCUGCAGUAAGAUGGAUUCUGAUUUCAGAACUGUUAAAGGAUUUUUUGAAAAGUACUUUCUAGAAUCAACAAAAUCCAAAGGCUUUCUUCUCCAACUAGACUGUGAGUUCCUAGAGGGCAGAGAACAUACUUAUAAUUUUCUGUACUUUGCAGUGCCUAGCACAGUGUCAUACACAUAGAAAAUACACUGUAAAACACUCUAAUGAAUGAAAGAAAAGUGAAUAGUUAAUAUAA